CGUACUGGGCGAGAGCGCGGGGGCGGGCCGGCGGCGGACGAGCGAGCGCGAGAGCUCCUGCGCCCGGGCGCACGGCGGGAGCUGCGGCGACGGUGCUGUGGCUCGUCGGGAGCCGGGAGCCCCGACACAAAGGCUGGGGGUCGGGGAGGGGAUGUGUGAGCAACCGGGGAGCCGGGAAAGGGAAAGCGAAAGCCGCGGGUGCGGCAGGUGACGGCGAAGGCGCGGUACCCGGGCCUGCCCUCCAGAGCCUGUCGGGCUGACCCCGGCGCGCCGCAGCCAUGGCUAUCGCCCACCUGGCCACCGAGUACGUGUUCUCGGACUUCUUGCUGAAGGAGCCCUCGGAGCCCAAGUUCAAGGGGCUGCGGCUGGAGCUGGCAGUGGAUAAGAUGGUCACGUGCAUCGCCGUGGGUCUGCCCCUGCUGCUCAUCUCGCUGGCCUUCGCGCAGGAAAUCUCGAUCGGUACCCAGAUAAGCUGUUUCUCCCCAAGCUCCUUCUCCUGGCGGCAGGCUGCCUUUGUGGAUUCCUACUGCUGGGCUGCUGUUCAGCAGGGCUCCCUGCAAGGUGAUUCUGGACGCCUUCCGCUGUGGCUGCAUAAGUUUUUCCCCUACAUCCUGCUGCUGGUGGCUAUCCUCCUGUACCUGCCCUCCCUGUUCUGGCGUUUUACAGCUGCCCCUCAUCUUUGCUCAGAUUUGAAGUUCAUCAUGGAAGAACUUGACAAAGUUUACAACCGCGCAAUUCAAGCUGCAAAGAGCAUGUGUGGUCAGGACGUGAGGGACGGUACCAGCCCAGUUCCAGGCCCUCAGGAAAACAUGGGGCAAAGCCUGUGGGAGAUCUCUGAGCGCCACUUCAAGUACCCGAUUGUGGAGCAGUACCUGAGGACAAAGAGGAGCUGUAGGAACUUGACCAUCAAGUACGUCAGCUGCCGGUUGCUGACACUCACCAUUGUCCUGUCCGCGAGCGCCUACCUGGGCUAUUACAUCAGCCUCUCGUCGCUGUCCGACGAGUUUGUCUGCAGCAUCAAGUCUGGGAUCCUGAGGAACGACAGCACCAUCCCUGACCGCUUUCAGUGCAAGCUCAUCGCCGUCGGCGUCUUCCAGCUGCUCAGCCUCAUCAACCUCGUGGUUUACAUGCUACUGGCCCCCGUGGUCAUCUACACGCUCUUCGUUCCAUUCCGGCAGAAGACGGAUGUUCUCAGGGUGUAUGAGAUUCUGCCCACCUUCGAUGUCCUGCAUUUCAAGUCGGAGGCGUACAACGACCUGAGUCUCUACAACCUCUUCUUGGAGGAGAACGUAAGCGAGCUCAAGUCCUACAGGUGUCUGAAGGUCCUGGAGAAUAUUAAAAGCAGUGGCCAGGGCAUCGACCCGAUGGUCCUCCUGACCAACCUUGGCAUGAUCAAGAUGGAUGUCAUGGAUGGCAAGAAACCGGAGCCCAUGGAGAUGACGACAGAGGAGCCGGGGGACCCGAUGACGGAGCUCAAAGAUUCGAGCUCACCCAGUGAUAUUAAAGUAAAUAACGGAGAGACGAAUGCUCGGCAAAGACUUCUCGAUUCUUCUUGCUGAUUUUUUUUCCCCUUUACCUUGAGGUCUGUGGCCCUCUGCGACAUGGAAUUUGUAUCGGCUGUCAGGUUCCCCGCUGGUCCUUCUGAGUGUGCCUUACUGAGUCCCUAAGGAUAAUGACGGUCCCCAGAACGCUGUAGGAGCAUGGUUCAUGAACUUCCGAUGAGCAGCACCAUGGGGGUGAGCCAGCCCCAGCAAGUGUACGUGUGAGGCCUUCACCCGGAAGGUGGGAAGGCUCAUUCAGAGCAAGACACAGAGCCCUGUUUGUGCCUCAAAGAAGCCCCUUUCUGGAAAGAUGUGCAGUAAGACUCAGUACCAGAAAGGACUUUGGGAGGCUUUUUGGAUUUGCUACAUGAAAUAAUGAUAAGACCUGUCAGGGUACAGCUUUACUGGGAACCUCCUCUGUGCCCCUAACGACCGCUGCACGAGAGGAAACACUCACUGGCCAGCCGCAGACUUGCUGUUGGCGGUGUCCUCUUCUGGGGACAGUGCUGGCAUGGGUUCCUGUCCCCCAGGGCUCUAUGCACACCACUGCUCGUCAGCCACGGCAAACCGAAAUCAUGGCACUCCACCCUGGAAACGUGGUGAGCCAGGCAGAGUCCAGAGGACGUUGAACUGUGACUUCUGUAUGGGAGAGGAUGCUUGUCACAGAGCCUGGUGGGGAGAUCUGGGCAGACAGAACAGGAAACCAGCAAUUCUCUAAGUCCUGUGCCAUGUAACCCUUUUGUCAUGGUUGGUGGGGCUGGAGUCCUUGCCUGCUCUUCCUUGUCCCUGUUGCGACACGCUGAGCCCCCAAGGUCCUGAUAUCCCAGGCUCGUCAUGCUCGUCCCUGACUGUUGGACAGGACAAAUAAGGCCAUUCCCCAUAUUUGAGGAGUUUAGAGCCUAGUCAAAAGCAGCAAAGGCAGAGGCAGGUACAAAGGAGUAGCCACAGUAAAGGCCCUUCCAGAAAGCUCCCAGCAGCUGUCUGUGUUCUCGGGAGACGCCAUCUUGUUUUCCUGUCUCCUGGAGCUGGUGGUCUUGAGAGUCCAGUUCUGGUUUUUCCCAGAGGCUCUUCAGCCACUGGUCCUGUGGUAUGAAGCUGGGACAGAACACUAACAGAGUGGUUUUGCACAGGAAGAGCUCCACUGGCCUUCUGCUCGUUACCAGUGGCCCUUCUCCACUGGCCUUCUGCAGGGGAGAGGGGAGGUCAAGCCUGCGGCGGCCAUGGAGUUACCCAUGAAUGACUGCUGUAGAGCUAAGAGGCCAAGGUGGAUGCCCGUCCUACAGUCCGGCGCAAGGAAAAGCGUUACCAGGAAAGUGAACUCUUCCAUCCCCUGGGAGUUGCUGGCUUAAAGAACGACUUCUGAGGGUUCCCUUUGAGAGGGUAAAGAGUCAUUCCUUGCUUUCUACAGAGGGACCGACGGAUCCUAACUGGGUACCCCAGGGCUACUGACUUCGUUUCCAGCUCUCAUCUUCCUAGAAAGGCACCACCUGGGGCUGGAACCGAUCAUCCUGGGAGCAGCAUCCAGCCACCUGUUUGCUUUUCCCCCAGGACAGGCAGAGACUUACAGUGUAGACCUUCUGCAAACUUCCGGGAAGUGACAAACCCUGAAAGGCACAGACCCUCUCUUGUGAUGCUCACACAACACUAAAUGCACCUCCAGGGGCUGUCCUCAGGUGUGCACACGGUGAGGGGCUGGAGACCAGUCCACCCAGUGCACAGCGGAGGCCCCUUUGGCCUCCCAGAGAGCUGCUUCCAGCAACGUCUGCUCUGUGUCCACCUAGCGAACUUCUGAGUGGGCUGUACCCUCUGAGGAGUGGGUCUCAUUGUUCAGAAUCCGGGUGAAGAGCCAGUUAAGAGGGCAUGUGGAUGACAGUGGGGUGGGGGGGUGAGGGCCGCUGCCACUGACCCUGUUCUGUCUCUCCAGCAUGAAGAGCCAGUGAGCCUAACACUCGGACAGUGCUUUGUCCUAUAUUGUGCUGUGAAAACGCUAGAAACUUCCAGCUGCAUGGGCUGUCUCACUGCAUGGUUGUGCUUCGUCUGUAGAAGCCAAGCCUGUGUCCUCUCCAAGAAUGAGCCAAGGUCGGGAGAUGGCUGGGCAGAUGCUCCCACGGUUGGAGUGUUGCACACUUUUUAAAAAUGUGUUCAUAUUGGUUUAUUUUGCUUAUUGUCAGUCCGGGGUCAAUAGAAUAUCUACGAGGAUGGGCAUGGUUGAUCUCGUAAUGUGAGCUAAACCAGUGGCUGGCCUGUAAUAGGCAUUCUGUAAAUAUUUGCUGAACAAACACACAGUUAUGAGAACUCAAGCUUGUUGGCAGCUGGGAUUUGAUUCGAAAAGGCACACAGUCCUCUACAGGAAAGGAGAGGAGAGACCCCCUCAGCCUCCUGUGGAGAGGGGAAUGUUUGUGUAAAAUGACUACAGCCCCACAAAUAAGCAGUGACGGUUCUUAGCUGCUUCUUGUGGCCGCUCUCCCAAGUUCAGUCCAAGUGCAGCGUUGCCCCGCCGUGAUUAGUGAAAUUGAAGUUUUGAUGCUCCCGAUCUCCGUCAUUUCCCAGAACAACCUCUUGAAAAGGAAUGAUGAUUGAAUUGUGCAGUUAGCGUUGAUUAGGGUUUCAGAUGAGGGCGCGGAGAUGAAAUGGCCCUUCGGGACAGUCAUUGGCCGGGGCCCUAUUUUUCACAAGUAAUGUGAAGCCCCGAAAAAGGACUGGCAAAGAGGAUAGUGUGUCCUUUUUGGAGCAUAAUAGAUGUUAAUUCACCCUUGGUUUGUUCGCCCUGCUUGAAAUGAAAUGUGUUGUGUUUGGGGGCUCUCUUCUUAGCUGCAAAAAACACUUCGUCACUUAAAGCAUGUGGUUUGAUCCGUGAUUGUUCUUCAAGUUUUUGAAAGUUAAUAUAGUUUCUCCUGUCGUGAGUGCUUUCCCCUGCCCCUCCCCCACCCCCCAGAGGAGGAAAAGCCUUGUAGAAUUCGACAGGGUCACAAGUGCUCCCUACAAAAGCUGAUGCCACCCGUUCCUCUUUAACAAGUUGGCUUUUUUAAAAGCACCACUGUUACAGGCUCAUGGAGUUCUGUGGAGAGGUACUCGAGGCGUACUUUAAAUUCUUUUGAAUGACUAAACAUCUUCACAAACUUUUAAAGAAAAAUACAUGGGUUCUUUUCUGCUGUGUCAUUCGGGAAGGACGAUUGCUCGCUCUUCCACAAAGAUCAAAGGAUGACAGCGGAUCACUGUGUUAGAAAAUGACCCUUAAGAAAAGGACAAGAGUCUUGAAAACUGAGGUUCGGUGGUUCUCGCUAGGACGUUUUCGAUUUCCACAAGUCACCCGUCCAAGUUCUGCAUUCUGACUUCCCUUUAAGGAGGGAUCCAAGGCUGCCCCUGUCUGUAGAGAAUGUGGAAACAAUGUUUUCGUUCUGCACGGCUUGCAUCCACCCCAAUAAAACUUCUCUCACUAAUGAAAAA